ACGAACGCUGGCGGCAGGCCUAACACAUGCAAGUCGAACGCUCGUAGCAAUACGGGAGUGGCAGACGGGUGAGUAACGCGUGGGAACGUGCCCUUUGGUUCGGAACAACUCCGGGAAACUGGAGCUAAAACCGGAUAAGCCCUACGGGGGAAAGAUUUAUCGCCGAAGGAUCGGCCCGCGUCUGAUUAGCUAGUUGGUGAGGUAACGGCCCACCAAGGCGACGAUCAGUAGCUGGUCUGAGAGGAUGAUCAGCCACACUGGGACUGAGACACGGCCCAGACUCCUACGGGAGGCAGCAGUGGGGAAUAUUGGACAAUGGGCGCAAGCCUGCUCCAGCCAUGCCGCGUGAGUGAUGAAGGCCUUAGGGUUGUAAAGCUCUUUCGCGCGCGAGGAUAAUGCCGGUAGCCCGAGAAUAAGCCCCGGCUACCUUCGU
rnacentral:rRNA from 1 species